GCCUGGGUGGCUCAGUUGGUUAAGCGUCCGAAUUAGGUUCCGGUCAUGAUUUCAUGGUUCGUGGGUUCGAACCCUACAUCAGGCU
rnacentral:tRNA from 1 species